rnacentral:tRNA from 1 species
ACGGGUGUAGCUCAAUUGGUAGAGUAGCGGUCUCCAAAACCGUUGGUUGAGGGUUCGAUUCCUUCCACCCGUG